GGGGCCUCAGGGUCUACCCUGACUCGCUUUUCCCGGACGGUCUCCUAGGAGAGAGGCUGUGGCCAGCUGACGCGACUUCCUUCUGCUACUGAGGUGAGAAGUCUUAGGGCAGAUGCGGAUGUCCAGGGCUUCGAGACUGCUCAACAUGAAGAUGAUGAUGAUGAAGAGUUUUAUGAUGAUCCACUUCCACUUAAUGAAUAGACAAGGUCUGGCUCUGUCACCCAGGCUGGAGUGCAGUGGUGAGAUCUCGGCUCACUGCAACCUCCGCCUCCCAAGCUCAAGCAAUCCUCCUGGCUCAGCCUCAGCUGGGAUUACAGGCAUGCGCCAUGGCACCCAAC